GGAGACUGAGAAGGAACAGCAGGCAAGAGAAAGAGGGCUAAGGGAGAGCCAUGACCUACAAUCAGGUCAAGAAGCAUUUCUACAGGAGAGAUUUAUGCUGCUGAUCUUCCAAUAGAUCAAGUAGUGUGGAGACCACUGAGACCCAGCCACUGGAGACCAUUAGCCUAGAGAGGUCAUUGGUGGCCUUGCCAAGCCCUGUUUUGAUUCCAGGUUCGGGAGACAGAGUGUAGACAGAGGAGAGGAAUCACAGACAGCCCAGUGCAGACAAUAGGCAACUCUUUCAAAGAGUCAUCUUAUAAAGAUGAGGAAACUGAGACAUCGUUGUGUCCUGCCUGGACACACGUGACUGGACCAGGAGAGACCCAGAAGCAGUCAGGCUGGCUCCUGCCUGGCUCCUGCUCUUUUCUGACGUGCUUAGUGACCUCCUAAAGGUUCAUGGUGGCCAAUUCUAAGAGAAGGAAUAUUUUUUUCACUUUUAUCUAUGUUUUUUAAAGAAGCCCCUUAAAGGACAGGCAGUCACCUCCAUUGCCACUAAGACAUCGCUAGAGGCUGGUGUGAACCCUAAGCUGGGCCAGGAGAGAGGAAAUACCCAGUGGUUUCAUACUCAUGCUGGGAUUGGAAGUCACAGGACCAAAGCCCAUGGACAGCAGGCACUGUGACCCUGCUGCGUGGAGUCACGACGAUUCAUACCUGUGAUUCACCUUAACCAUGAUGUGCCUGGGCACUCUGGAAAGGGCAGCUAGAGACAGUGAUAGAAACAGGUUUCACAUACAGAAGCAGCUUCAUGGACCCAUCCAACAGGAAGGGAUUUCUUACAGGCAAGCCAAGAAGUUAUCUUGCAGCUGACUUUCAGUUAUGCAUAACUACCACCCAUCCGGGACCCAAUGAUUGGGCAAAGGAGCUCGGACAUCACACAAUAAUGGCCCAGUGACUCGUCUAAUUGCCUACUUGUCAAUGCCAUAGUAUUACAACAUUCUGGUGGCCUGACUUACUUGACUAUUCAUAUCUCAAAGGGCAUGCCUCUGAGAUGCCACGCGAGAUAUUUUGAAAGAUUAGAUAUUGCCGAAUUGAGUCAUAUGUGGGAAAGAGAGAAGAGGGCUCACUGGAUUCCUCUCUGGUAGCAAGUGAUUUGGUGGGAGUGAAGCCCUGAGAAGAGACUGUCUGGGAGGAUCAACCAAAAGCCUUAAAACAAAGGAGUGACUUUCAGAGACUGGCUAAGGAUACAAUCAUUAAAAUCAUUUAUUCAGUCACCAUUUUCAGAGCUCACUGUUAGGCAGGCAAAGAUACAUAAGAGAAGUUGCUUACUUUCAUGAUCAAGUUGGAGACAGCAGUUAUCAGAACACUCUCAGUAUUUCUGGGAAAUCCUGCAAGUUAUGUCACAUGGGGUACCUCUUUCUUUGAGCUCAAAUCGUCCUAUCUGCCACUCUGGUUACAUAACCACUCUGAACUGCAGUUUCAUCUUCUGUAAAUUGGGAAUAAUGAGUUCUACCUCAUUUUUAAGUGAGCUUCUUAACGUGAAAGUAAUUUUCAGAUGAUUUAAUGCGAAGGGAUAUAAAUACAUUGGGAGUAUUUGGGGAAUCCAUGAAGAGAUUUACUUCCUUCUUUAAUAUUCUGAGAUUUUACUUUGCAGUCUUACAGGCAUGCACGUGCGUUUUUUUUUUUUAAGUUGAUUAAUUAAAAUUAUUCCCUGCUUUUGUUCUUAAAAUGAGAUAUACUCCAUUUUUAUAGAUUUGUCAAGGUUGCAAAGCUUCAGAAUUCCUAAGUCAGCUGUGACUAUUGGAUAAUAUCAAACCAAAGCAUUGAGGGUUCCUUUAAAAACCAAAAAGUCUGUUUCAGGGCUGAGACAAUGAGGAUUUCUAAUAUCUUUAAAGGUGCAAGAAGCAGGCAAGGGAGCCUUGGAAUUAUUGACAAGAGCCUUCGUAAACACCUUCCAACCAGUUUUCCUCACAGUUGCCACAAAAGGAACAGGCUUGUGAGAGGGCCACAAAGGAGCUUAGGUUUCCUGACAAACUCUGAAUGGCCUUCCCUGUAUUACCAAGGGCUGACUUUGUUCCUGGUGGUGCCAACAGUGGGCAUGAAGCCAGCCCUUCUGUUUACGAGCAGCUCAAGGUCAGGUGGGCUUGGACUACCUGACUUUUCAUUAGGUCAGUAAAUAUGUAUAUGAGUAAAGUGGUUGUGGGCCAACUGAACUGCUUGCUCCAGAGCUAUGGACCUCUUGCCUGGCCUCCCAGCUCCCUGAAUCCAUGAGAACAUUCAAUGAAUCAACGAGGACAUUCACAUCCUCAUUGAGUCCUCCUUGGUCCUUCCCAUUCCCUGCCUCAUUCACAAGACCCUCUCCUCAUCUCUCACCCUGUCUUGCCUUGACGACCUGUCCAGGCCCAUCAUCCACCUGACUUAUAAACUUCAAACACCUUGUGGUGUUUCCUGCUUCCAAAUAUUCCUCAAAAUUGAGGAUCCUGAGUUGAAUACCUGGAGUUCUCCUUUCUGAUUUCUAUAAUGGUAGACAUGGUCUAAGGUAGAUUUUCCAGGCUUUUCUGGACUUGCCAGAGACUCCCUCUCUUGGCAGGUCUGAAUCAGAAGAUCAUGCACUGGCUUGGCAUGGUGGCUUAUGCCUGUAAUCUCAGCACUUUGGGAGGUCAACGCGGGCAGAUCACUUGAGGUCAGGAGUUCGAGACCAGCCUGGCCAACAUGGUGAAACCAUGUCUCUACUAAAUACAAAAAUUAGCCGGGUGUGGUGGUGCACACCUGUCAUUCCAGCUACUCGGCAGGCUGAGGCACAAGAAUCUCUUGAAAUGGUGAGGCAGAGCUUGCAGUGAGCCAAGAUUGAACCACUGUAUGCUAUCCUGGGUGACAGACUGAAAUAAAAGAAGAUUCCUGCAGUGUCCUAGAAUCUCUACUUUUUUAAAUUUUUUUUUUGAGAUGAAGCCUCACUCUUGUUCUCCAGGCUGGAGUGUGAUGGCAUGAUCUCGGUUCACUGUAACCUCUGCCUCCUGGGUUCAAUCGAUUCCCCUGCCUCAGCCUUCCAAGUAGCUGGGAUUACAGGUGCCUGCCACCAUGCCCGGCUAACUUUUGUAUUUUUAGUAGAGAUGUGGUUUCACUAUGUUGGCCAGGCUGGUCUCAAACUCCUGACCUCAGGUGAUCUGCCUGCCUUGGCCUCCCAAAUUGCUGGGAUUACAGGCGUAAGCCACUGAGCCCGGCCAGAAUUUCUACUUUUAACAAUUAUCCUGGAGGAUUAUUAUGAUCAAGUAUGUUGGAGGAAUAGCUAGAAUGCCUGUUAGGGUAUAAAAAGUAUUAUGUUUUACUUCUUCAUGUAUAUUUGCAUGUUUUCCUAACAGACCCUCAGUAUUACUAGAUGAUUAGCCAAUAUUGCUAGAUGAUUAGCUAGAUAAUAUGGAUGAUUUGACUGGCAGGUAGUGGCCCUAAUGCAGUAAUAAGAAACUCUGUCCAUAGAUAGUUGAGAAAGAGCCUUGGGUGCUGACACAUUAAAUAGGCCUUAUGAAAUAUAUUUUGGUGUUCUUGAGAGAUGAGAAUGAAUUUUCAAGAGGGCAAUUUGGUCUCAUUUUAACUUGGAAGAUAGAAGAGAUGGUCAAGAGUCUCAUUGUUUAUAUAAAAAGACUGUAGAAAAUGCAUCAAAGCAUUCGUAAGGUUAGGCACCUCUACACGCUUCUUGAGGUUAGACACCUCUACAUGGUUGGUGUGGUAUCUGCCACAAAGUAAGCUCUCAAUAAAACUAAUGGAAUGAA
ensembl:lncRNA